rnacentral:rRNA from 1 species
AUCGGCUUGCGGGUCGAUGUGAGCCAACGGUGAGAUACCACUCUUUGCGAGCUAGGGUUCUAACGGCCACCCGUCAUCCGGGGGCCGGACAGUACCUGGUGGGCAGUUUGACUGGGGCGGUCGCCUCCUAAAAGGUAACGGAGGCGCGCAAAGGUUUGCUCAGGCUGGUUGGAAAUCAGCCGACGAGUGUAAAAGCAGAAGCAAGCUUGACUGUGAGACCAACAAGUCGAACAGGGAGGAAACUCGGCUUUAGUGAUCCGACGGUUCUGAGUGGAAGGGCCGUCGCUCAACGGAUAAAAGUUACUCUAGGGAUAAC